UACGGAGGGGGCUAGCGUUGUUCGGAAUUACUGGGCGUAAAGCGCGCGUAGGCGGCUUUGUAAGUUAGAGGUGAAAGCCCGGAGCUCAACUCCGGAACUGCCAUUGAAACUGUGAAACUUGAGGACGAGAGAGGUGAGUGGAAUUCCCAGUGUAGAGGUGAAAUUCGUAGAUAUUGGGAAGAACACCGGUAGCGAAGGCGGCUCACUGGCUCGUUUCUGACGCUCAGGCGCGACAGCGUGGGGAUCAAACAGG
rnacentral:rRNA from 1 species